GAUGAAGAACUUAGCGAAAUGCGAUACUUGGUGUGAAUUGCAGAAUCCCGUGAACCAUCGAGUCUUUGAACGCAAGUUGCGCCCGGAGCCAUUAGGCCGAGGGCACGCCUGCCUGGGCGUCACACGUCGUUGCCCCCCCAUCUACUCCUUCGGGAUUGCGGGGGGCGGAUGAUGGCCUCCCGUGCGCCUCGUCGCGCGGUUGGCAUAAAUGCCAAGUCCUCGGCGACGCACGCCACGACAAUCGGUGGUUGCGAAACCUCGGUUGCCCGUCGUGUGCGGUCGUCGCGCAUCGAGGGCUCGAAAAAAUUGCCGGGCUCCGGCUCGGCUUUCAACGCGACCCCAGGUCAGGCGGGGUUACCCGCUGAAUUUAAGCAUAUCAAUAAGCGGAGGA
rnacentral:misc_RNA from 1 species